AUACUUACCUGGCAGGGGAGAUACCAUGAUCACAAAGGUGGUUUUCCCAGGGUGAGGUUUAUCCGUUGCACUCCGGAUGAGCUGAAAAUAAAAAUAAAUAAAUAAAUAAAUAAAUAAAUAAAUAAAUACAAUGAAAAUGAGCACGGUUGCUGGAUUCCAGCUUCUGUC
ensembl:snRNA U1 U1 spliceosomal RNA